ACGCGAGGAACCUUACCAGGUCUUGACAUCCUCUGACACUCCUAGAGAUAGGACGUUCCCCUUCGGGGGACAGAGUGACAGGUGGUGCAUGGUUGUCGUCAGCUCGUGUCGUGAGAUGUUGGGUUAAGUCCCGCAACGAGCGCAACCCUUGAUCUUAGUUGCCAGCAUUAAGUUGGGCACUCUAAGGUGACUGCCGGUGACAAACCGGAGGAAGGUGGGGAUGACGUCAAAUCAUCAUGCCCCUUAUGACCUGGGCUACACACGUGCUACAAUGGAUGGUACAAAGGGCAGCAAAGCGGCGACGCCGAGCAAAUCCCAUAAAACCAUUCUCAGUUCGGAUUGUAGGCUGCAACUCGCCUACAUGAAGCUGGAAUCGCUAGUAAUCGCGGAUCAGCAUGCCGCGGUGAAUACGUUCCCGGGCCUUGCACACACCGCCCGU
rnacentral:rRNA from 1 species